rnacentral:rRNA from 1 species
CCUACGGGGCGCAGCAGUGAGGAAUAUUGGUCAAUGGACGAGAGUCUGAACCAGCCAAGUAGCGUGAAGGAUGACUGCCCUAUGGGUUGUAAACUUCUUUUAUAAAGGAAUAAAACGAGGCACGUGUGCCUUUUUGCAUGUACUUUAUGAAUAAGGAUCGGCUAACUCCGUGCCAGCAGCCGCGGUAAUACGGAGGAUCCGAGCGUUAUCCGGAUUUAUUGGGUUUAAAGGGAGCGUAGAUGGGUUGUUAAGUCAGUUGUGAAAGUUUGCGGCUCAACCGUAAAAUUGCAAUUGAUACUGGCAUUCUUGAGUACAGUUGAGGUAGGCGGAAUUCGUGGUGUAGCGGUGAAAUGCUUAGAUAUCACGAAGAACCCCGAUUGCGAAGGCAGCUUACUAAACUGUGACUGACAUUGAUGCUCGAAAGUGUGGGUAUCAAACAGGAUUAGAUACCCGAGUAGUC